UAAUAAGUUAUAUAACAACUUACAUAAUAUGAACUUCUAACCAAUCAGAGUUAAACAAACCCAUAUAUGGGUUUGUUUAUCACAUGCUUAUAAGGGUUUGUUUAUCACA